UAUGAGAUGAGCCUGCGUUAGAUUAGCUAGUUGGUGGGGUAAAGGCCUACCAAGGCGACGAUCUAUAGCUGGUCUGAGAGGACGAUCAGCCACACUGGGACUGAGACACGGCCCAGACUCCUACGGGAGGCAGCAGUGGGGAAUAUUGGACAAUGGGCGCAAGCCUGAUCCAGCAAUACCGCGUGUGUGAAGAAGGCCUUCGGGUUGUAAAGCACUUUCAAUUGGGAGGAAAACCUACCGGUCAAUACCCGGUAGCUUGACAUUACCUUUA
rnacentral:rRNA from 1 species